rnacentral:rRNA from 1 species
AGAGUUUGAUCCUGGCUCAGAACAAACGCUGGCGGCGUGUCUUAAGCAUGCAAGUUGAGCGGCAAGGAGGAGAGAUCCUCCCUAGAGCGGCGGACUGGUGAGUAACGCGUGGGUAAUCUAUCGUAGGCAUGGGGAUAGUCACUAGAAAUAGUGGGUAAUACCGAAUACGUUCCAUGAGGGGAGUAUUCAUGGAAGAAAGGGUGCUACGGCACUGGCCUUAGGUGAGCUCGCGUCCCAUUAGCUAGUUGGUGAGGUAAAGGCCCACCAAGGCGAUGAUGGGUAGCCGGCCUGAGAGGGUGUACGGCCACACUGGGACUGAGAUACGGCCCAGACUCCUACGGGAGGCAGCAGCUAAGAAUAUUCCGCAAUGGACGAAAGUCUGACGGAGCGACGCCGCGUGGAUGAAGAAGGCCGAAAGGUUGUAAAGUUCUUUUGCUAGGGGAGAAUAAGUGAGGGAGGGAAUGCCCUCAUGAUGACAAGGACUAGCGAAUAAGCCCCGGCCAACUACGUGCCAGCAGCCGCGGUAACACGUAGGGGGCGAGCGUUGUUCGGAAUUACUGGGCGUAAAGGGCAUGUAGGCGGCUUGGUAAGCCUGGCGUGAAAGACUGCAGCUUAACUGUAGGGAUGCGUUGGGAACUGCUUAGCUUGAGUUACGGAGAGGGAGCUGGAAUUCCUGGUGUAGGGGUGAAAUCUGUAGAUAUCAGGAAGAACACCGAUGGCGAAGGCAAGCUUCUGGUCGAUAACUGACGCUGAGGUGCGAAAGUGUGGGGAUCAAACAGGAUUAGAUACCCUGGUAGUCCACACUGUAAACGAUGAUAACUCACUGCCGGCGAUACACAGUCGGUGGCCAAGCGAAAGCGAUAAGUUAUCCACCUGGGGAGUACGACCGCAAGGUUGAAACUCAAAGGAAUUGACGGGGGCCCGCACAAGCGGUGGAGCAUGUGGUUUAAUUCGAUGGUACACGAGGAACCUUACCUGGGUUUGACAUACGGAGGGAAGUGGCAGCGAUGUCACUGCGUAGAGAUACGGCUCCGUACAGGUGCUGCAUGGCUGUCGUCAGCUCGUGCCGUGAGGUGUUGGGUUAAGUCCCGCAACGAGCGCAACCCCU